AACCUUCUCCCUUUUUCUGAAACAAUAGCAUAACAUCACAACAUAGAAAAACACACGAUAAAAUAUCAAUUGGCAGACUUAACUCAAUCAAAAAACGUAUGAUUACACAAUGAACGAAUAAAUUUGAUCUGCGAUAUCUGAAUACAAAUGCACAGUUAAUUAAAUAUUAGAGACAAACAUUCAUGACCAACAAGCUAACAAACAAAUUCAAACAAAGCCAUGGCAAGACA
rnacentral:lncRNA from 1 species